rnacentral:snoRNA from 1 species
GUUUGAUGAUGAACUUCAGAUGACGAGUCUGAAGUGUCGCGGCGGGGCUUCCUCGUCGUGGCUUUCCGUGACGACACCAUCAAUUUAUACCAUUCAUGCUUUACUGAUC